AAAGAUUUCAAUCUACCAUUCAGUCAUAUAAACUAUUACUUAAUCAUCUAAAACGUAUUGAAGUUCUUUUAUUAGUUAGAUAUUUUGAUCAAUUCUAUUUUUGAUAAUUAUAAUUUGAGCACGUUUUGGAUUAAAAUAAAUAAUAAGAGCAUAGACUAUUGCUAUAAACAGACAAAUUACAGCUGCCAAGUAUUGCUCUCCUCCAAACACUGAUAAAUUCAUAAAUAAUACAUACUUUUCAGCCCCCCACGCAUUGUUUGGGAAUAAAUUUGAAAUAAAAUGAAGUUCAUACGAGCCGGGAUACAAAAUCAUAUCUUCCAUACUGCUAUAUUCAUAUGAAGAGCUAAUUAUACCAUAUGGCUUAAUGAAGUUUGGAGAAAUACUUUGGCUCCACCAUCUUGACAACAUCAUAGAUAAUUUUGGAAUCUUGUCAUUUGAUUUUUUCUCAUAUCUAUGUGACUGAUUUAAGAAUUUGCUAUUAAUUGCUCCAGAAAUAAAUUGCCUAAAACUGUGGAGCAUUUUAUACUUCCAUUGAUCUUCUGGAAAAUCGAUGGCCCUGAUUUGUAUUUUUUCCUUACUUGAGCCUUUUUUUGUUAACUCGAAUUCAUCUGUAAAGAGAGAAUAAAUUGGAAGUCCGCAUAGAAUAUUUCUAUUAAUAGAAUUAUUUUUUUUACUCAUUUUGAAAAUUCUUGAUUUUUUAUUAUUGGAAAAAAUACUGUCAAUUUGAGUGAAGUUGAAAUUAAUGGGUACUCUAAAAAACUCUGCAAGAUGAAUCCUAAAAUCGGGUCUAUACCUUAAAAUAUCAUCAAUGGAUAGUAUAUGGGUGCACUUGUAGCCAUACCCAAAUAUUUCAGGAGGUUUAGAACCCACAAAUUCUUUAGUGUUGCUAAAAAACCCAUUAAUCCCGUAAAAUACAAAAAUCGGUUCUUGUAAAGUACGGUCAACAGUAA
rnacentral:antisense_RNA from 1 species